UGGGGCGUGGCCAAGUGGUAAGGCAGCGGGUUUUGAUCCCGUUAUUCGGAGGUUCGAAUCCUUCCGUCCCAGCCA
rnacentral:tRNA from 1 species